rnacentral:miRNA from 4 species
AGGUGGUCCGUGGCGCGUUCG